rnacentral:tRNA from 1 species
CAGGGUAUAGUUUAAAGAAAAUAUUAGUUUUGGAGAUUAAUGCUAGGGGUUACCUUAUCCUGA